CCUACGGGCGGCUGCAGUGGGGAAUAUUGCACAAUGGGCGCAAGCCUGAUGCAGCCAUGCCGCGUGUGUGAAGAAGGCCUUCGGGUUGUAAAGCACUUUCAGCGGGGAGGAAGGCGGUGAGGUUAAUAACCUCAUCGAUUGACGUUACCCGCAGAAGAAGCACCGGCUAACUCCGUGCCAGCAGCCGCGGUAGUACGGAGGGUGCAAGCGUUAAUCGGAAUUACUGGGCGUAAAGCGCACGCAGGCGGUCUGUCAAGUCGGAUGUGAAAUCCCCGGGCUCAACCUGGGAACUGCAUUCGAAACUGGCAGGCUAGAGUCUUGUAGAGGGGGGUAGAAUUCCAGGUGUAGCGGUGAAAUGCGUAGAGAUCUGGAGGAAUACCGGUGGCGAAGGCGGCCCCCUGGACAAAGACUGACGCUCAGGUGCGAAAGCGUGGGGAGCAAACAGGAUUAGAUACCCCAGUAGUC
rnacentral:rRNA from 1 species